UUCCGGUUGAUCCUGCCGGAGGCCAUUGCUAUCGGAGUCCGAUUUAGCCAUGCUAGUUGCGCGGGUUCAGCCCCGUAGCGGAAAGCUCAGUAACACGUGGCCAAGCUACCCUGUGGACGGGAAUAAUCUCGGGAAACUGAGGCUAAUCCCCGAUAACGCUUCGCUCCUGGAAGGGGCGAAGCCGGAAACGCUCCGGCGCCACAGGAUGCGGCUGCGGUCGAUUAGGUAGACGGUGGGGUAACGGCCCACCGUGCCUAUAAUCGGUACGGGUUGUGAGAGCAAGAGCCCGGAGACGGAAUCUGAGACAAGAUUCCGGGCCCUACGGGGCGCAGCAGGCGCGAAACCUUUACACUGUACGAAAGUGCGAUAAGGGGACUCCGAGUGUGAAGACAUAGAGCCUUCACUUUUGUACACCGUAAGGUGGUGUACGAAUAAGGACUGGGCAAGACCGGUGCCAGCCGCGCGGUAAUACGGCAGUCCGAGUGAUGGCCGAUUUUAUUGGGCCUAAAGCGUCCGUAGCUGGCUAGACAAGUCCGUUGGGAAAUCUGCCCGCAUUAACGGGCAGGCGUCCAGCGGAAACUGUCUAGCUUGGGACCGGAAGACCUGAGGGGUACGUCUGGGGUAGGAGUGAAAUCCUGUAAUCCUGGACGGACCGCCGGUGGCGAAAGCGCCUCAGGAGAACGGAUCYGACAGUGAGGGGCGAAAGCUAGGGUCUCGAACCGGAUUAGAUACCCGGGUAGUCCUAGCUGUAAACGAUGUCCGCUAGGUGUGGCGCAGGCUACGAGCCUGCGCUGUGCCGNAGGGAAGCCGAGAAGCGGACCGCCUGGGAAGUACGUCUGCAAGGAUGAAACUUAAAGGAAUUGGCGGGGGAGCACUACAACCGGAGGAGCCUGCGGUUUAAUUGGAUUCAACGCCGG
rnacentral:rRNA from 1 species